rnacentral:rRNA from 1 species
UACGUAGGGGGCGAGCGUUACCCGGAUUUACUGGGCUUAAAGGGCGCGUAGGUGGCCUUGUAAGUCAAAGGUGGAAUUCCACAGCUCAACUGUGGAACUGCCUUUGAUACUGCAAGGCUUGAGUCAGGUAGAGGAGGGCGGAAUUCCCGGUGUAGCGGUGAAAUGCGUAGAUAUCGGGAGGAAGGCCGGUGGCGAAGGCGGCCCUCUGGGCCUGUACUGACACUGAGGCGCGAAAGCGUGGGGAGCAAACAGG